rnacentral:rRNA from 1 species
GUCCAGACUCCUACGGGAGGCAGCAGUGGGGAAUAUUGCACAAUGGGGGAAACCCUGAUGCAGCGACGCCGCGUGAGUGAAGAAGUAUUUCGGUAUGUAAAGCUCUAUCAGCAGGGAAGAUAAUGACGGUACCUGACUAAGAAGCCCCGGCUAACUACGUGCCAGCAGCCGCGGUAAUACGUAGGGGGCAAGCGUUAUCCGGAUUUACUGGGUGUAAAGGGUGCGUAGGUGGCAGGGCAAGUCAGAUGUGAAAGCCCGGGGCUCAACCCCGGUACUGCAUUUGAAACUGUCCAGCUGGAGUGCAGGAGAGGUAAGCGGAAUUCCUAGUGUAGCGGUGAAAUGCGUAGAUAUUAGGAGGAACACCAGUGGCGAAGGCGGCUUACUGGACUGUAACUGACACUGAGGCACGAAAGCGUGGGGAGCAAACAGGAUUAGAUACCCCCGUAU